rnacentral:rRNA from 1 species
GAUGAACGCUAGCUACAGGCUUAACACAUGCAAGUCGAGGGGAAACGGCAUUGAGUGCUUGCACUCUUUGGACGUCGACCGGCGCACGGGUGAGUAACGCGUAUCCAACCUUCCCAUUACUGUGGGAUAACCUGCCGAAAGGCAGACUAAUACCGCAUAGUCUUCGAUGACGGCAUCAGAUUUGAAGUGAAGAUUUAUCGGUAAUGGAUGGGGAUGCGUCUGAUUAGCUUGUUGGCGGGGUAACGGCCCACCAAGGCGACGAUCAGUAGGGGUUCUGAGAGGAAGGUCCCCCACAUUGGAACUGAGACACGGUCCAAACUCCUACGGGAGGCAGCAGUGAGGAAUAUUGGUCAAUGGACGGAAGUCUGAACCAGCCAAGUAGCGUGCAGGAUGACGGCCCUAUGGGUUGUAAACUGCUUUUGUAUGGGGAUAAAGUUAGGGACGUGUCCCUAUUUGCAGGUACCAUACGAAUAAGGACCGGCUAAUUCCGUG